GAUGAACGCUAGCUACAGGCUUAACACAUGCAAGUCGAGGGGUAACUAGAGAAAAGCUUGCUUUUCUUGUUGACGACCGGCGCACGGGUGAGUAACGCGUAUCCAACCUGCCUAUAACUAGGGAAUAACCUUGCGAAAGUAAGACUAAUACCCUAUGAUUUCCUUUGAUGACAUCAGAUUAGGAAUAAAGAUUUAUCGGUUAUAGAUGGGGAUGCGUCUGAUUAGCUUGUUGGCGGGGUAACGGCCCACCAAGGCAACGAUCAGUAGGGGUUCUGAGAGGAAGGUCCCCCACAUUGGAACUGAGACACGGUCCAAGCUCCUACGGGAGGCAGCAGUGAGGAAUAUUGGUCAAUGGGCGGAAGCCUGAACCAGCCAAGUAGCGUGCAGGAUGACGGCCCUAUGGGUUGUAAACUGCUUUUAUACAGGAAUAAAGUUAGCCACGUGUGGUUAUUUGUAGGUACUGUAUGAAUAAGGACCGGCUAAUUCCGUGCCAGCCGCCGCGGUAA
rnacentral:rRNA from 1 species